rnacentral:lncRNA from 1 species
CAAGCCAACAUUACCAAGUCUGCUUGCACAAUUCAUGACAAGUCACCAUUAUACAAGGAACAACACACAUACAAUCUAGCUAAGUCAAAUGGCAGGCACAGGUCAUAUGUUGGCGUGCACAAUCUAACUAGCUAGAUUCACUACAAAAUGCCUCAUCUCCAUCUUAUCAAAAGCAAAAUGUCAUAUGUUUCCUUCCUCCAAGGCCUCCC